ensembl:lncRNA
GGGUAAGGAUUCGGGAGAGGAGCGGAGAGGAAAAUGUAACGAGCAAUGAUGCUGACAAAAAAGAUAAGAAACCCGCUUUGGAAGCAGGUCAACCUGAGGUUCCGCCAACUCCAGCGUCAAAGCCCCGGUGACAGUCUUGGAGAGAGAUGCCCUGGGGACCCUCAGUCCAGACAGGUGGGGCCCCGGCGUCUCCCAGCCACCGUGCUGCCUUGGGAAGCACAGUCAGCCCGGCUACCUCCCGACUCUGUCCCUUCAGUGUCCACGGUCCCUCGAGGGUAGGAGCCGCCUCUCACCCCCGGGGUCCCCGCACACAGCCCAGACUCCUUAGGUGUCAGGGGUAAUAACCCCCCGUCGCCUUUGCACCAGAUAAACCUCUCAGACACAGCAGUAAAUCAUGAAUAGCAUUAAUUUUGCUGACUGGUAAGAGUAUGUUACGCAUUAGGAUGUUUAGUAAAAUAAUUUCCUGCUACUUUAUUUUCUGAAAACCCAUAUAUAUCACAAUGUCUUUAUUUUACCACCCAUUCGCAUUUAACAUAAUUGCAUAAGCAUUUAACAUAAUAGCUGGCAUGGGGCUAUUAUUUUAACUCAUUAAGUGAGUUACUAUACGU